rfam:Equus caballus chromosome 3, whole genome shotgun sequence.
GCCCUGGUGGUCAAGUGGUUAAGAUUUGGCGCUCUCACCACCGUGGCCCGGGGUUCAUUUCCCUGCCAGGGCA